UACAGAGGUCUCAAGUGUUGUUCGGAUUCAUUGGGCGUAAAGGGUGUGUAGGUGGCGCGCUAAGUCGGGUGUGAAAUUUCGGAGCUUAACUCCGAAACUGCAUUCGAUACUGGCGUGCUUGAGGACUGGAGAGGAGACUGGAAUUCAUGGUGUAGCAGUGAAAUGCGUAGAGAUCAUGAGGAAGACCAGUGGCGAAGGCGGGUCUCUGGACAGUUCCUGACGCUGAGGCGCGAAAGCUAGGGGAGCAAACGGG
rnacentral:rRNA from 1 species